GAUGAACGCUGGCGGCGUGCCUAAUACAUGCAAGUCGAGCGAACAGACGAGGAGCUUGCUCCUCUGACGUUAGCGGCGGACGGGUGAGUAACACGUGGAUAACCUACCUAUAAGACUGGGAUAACUUCGGGAAACCGGAGCUAAUACCGGAUAACAUGUUGAACCGCAUGGUUCAACAGUGAAAGACGGUCUUGCUGUCACUUAUAGAUGGAUCCGCGCCGCAUUAGCUAGUUGGUAAGGUAACGGCUUACCAAGGCAACGAUGCGUAGCCGACCUGAGAGGCGGAUCGGCCACACUGGAACUGAGACACGGUCCAGACUCCUACGGGAGGCAGCAGUAGGGAAUCUUCCGCAAUGGGCGAAAGCCUGACGGAGCAACGCCGCGUGAGUGGAGAAGGUCUUCGGAUCGUAAAACUCUGUUAUUAGGGAAGAACAAAUGUGUAAGUAACUAUGCACGUCUUGACGGUACCUAAUCAGAAAGCCACGGCUAACUACGUGC
rnacentral:rRNA from 1 species